GAAUUUGAGAAUGUCGGAAAGGUAAUUGUAGGAAAUUGCAACGGAUUACCACUAAUGAUUUCUGUGGUUGCAGGGUCUCUUUCUAGCAAGAGGACGCUGGACGAGUGGAAUGAAGUAGCUCAAAGUGUAAGCUCAUUAGUAAACCUUGAUGAUUAUCAACGUUGCUCAGGAGUGCUCGCUUUGAGCUACAAUCAUCUUCCUUCCCACUUGAAAGCUUGCUUUCUGUAUUUCGGAGUUUUCAAAAAAGCUACUGAAAUUUCUGUGGAAAACUUGAUUAGAUUAUGGAUGGCAGAAGGACUCUUUAAGCUGAGGGGAAUUUGGGAAUUGGAAAAAGAAGCUUAUAGUCUACUACAUGAUCUUAUUGAUAAAAGUCUAAUUGUUGCUUGCAAGCGUAGUUUUGAUGGCAAAAUCAAGACAUGUAGGAUUCAUGAUCUUCUCCAUGAUUUAUGCUUGAGAGAAUCUGAAAGUGAGAGUCUUUUGUAUGUUUCAAAUCCCCCAAUUUCAGGUACCAAUGUUCCUCAACAUCGUCGGUGGGUUUCAUUUCAUCAAGAGCCAGUGCGAGAUUUUUUUUCUCUUCCCUUCCCUACUUAUGGUAAAACGCGUUCUCUUCAUUUUCUUGCGGUAAAACCGUACAGUCUUGAAUUUGAAUUAGGAUUAGACCGUUUCAAACUUCUUAGAGUAUUGGACUUGCUGGGAUCAGGCGUGUGGUAUUUACCUAAUGGAUUAUCAAACCUAGUUUCCUUAAGGUAUUUGAGGGCUGGGUUCAUCAGUGGAUAUCUACCAAUUUAUAAACUUCAAAAUUUACAAUUUCUUAGUUUACGUCAAGUUAAUAAGUUACAAGCCAUUAAGUUUCACUUACCAGAUGAAACCUGGAAAAUGUCUCAAUUGAGGCAUCUCGACUCUGCAAGUUUUUAUUUGUGUUCUCCUCCAAAGGUAUCUGGCAAUAGGUACCGGGUUUUGGAAAACUUGCAAAGUGUUCAUGGGUUGAGACCAAUUUGUUGCACUAAAGAAAUGUUUAAAGGGAUUAAAAAGGUGAAAAAAUUGGGGAUUUGUGGCAACAGUAAUCACUUCUAUGAUGCGCCCAAAUGCCUAGAUAAUCUUAUAUAUUUACCUGAGCUAGAGGCACUAAAAAUCUUAUUAUACGACCGUUACAGAAGUGAUUUCCUUCAUAGGCAUCCAGUUCCAUGUGUGGGUUCUUUCCCACCGAAUCUCAAGAAGCUGACACUUCAAGGAACUCGUCUAUUAUGGUCGCAACUGACCGUCAUUAGCAAGUUGCCCAAACUCGAGGUGCUCCAAUUUAAGGCAUUACAGUUGUUUGGUGAUGAGCGUGGAGAAACUGCCUGGGAAGUAUCAGAGAUGGGAUUUCCUAAAUUGAAAUUUUUGCUCAUAGAGAAGAAGGGUCUUGAAUACUGGACUGCCACCGACGAUUCUUUUCCAUGCCUUGAGUGUGUAAUUAUCAAAAAAUGUCGUUUCUUACAAGAGAUUCCUAAAGAAUUUGCAGAUAGUAUGACACUGAAGAGAAUUGAGUUAUGGGGAUGUACUCCUUCCCUUGUGAAUUUCGCUAAGGAGAUCCAAGAAGAGCAAGAGAUUUUGGGAAACAACAUACUUCAAGUUUAUGCCUAUGACACGAUUACAGGUAAGUGGAAUGAUUCUUCAACAUCCAUUAUAUGUUUUACCAGUAAUUAAUUGACCUGAUGACUUUGAUUCAAAAUUUUAUGUGAAUAACUACUAGUAUAUCUUUUGAUUGUAAUAAGAUAGGUAAAAUUGAAUAUUUCAUAUGUAUAGACUCUGUAAAAGUGGAAGGGGGGGAUGGAAUUCAUUAGAUUGAAUAAGUUGAUCACAUCUCUCUUACAUCUUGAGAGGCCUAGUUUAGUCCAUUAUAUUGUUGGGACAUUUGGUUAUAGAAAUUUGUUGGAAAUGAAGGCACUUUUGAAAGAGUAGCAUGCCAAUUACUGCAAAAAAAAUGUGCCCUAACAUCUAUGAUAAGCGUACUGGGGAGAUGUGAUUAGACAGAACAUGGUGCAGCUUCAGCUUAUCAAGGAUAUGACCUUAAAUCAGAGGGUGUAGAAGUCAUGGAUUAGGGUAGAAGGUUAGUAGGUAGUGUAGUGUUCUCUUGCUUCGGAAGGGUUUAGGCUUAGUGGUGUACGGUGUCUGUCGUAGUAUUUGUUUUAUUCUUGUAAUGUCUUGCUUUUGCUUUCUAUCACCAUCUGUUUUUGUUAUGGUGUUUCAAUUAUUGCAUUAUUUUGUUCUUAUUACUGUUUUCUUCCGUAUUAGUUGCUUCACUGUAUAUAUAUGUCCUAUCGAGGAAGAUGCAAAGGAAGAAGUAUAUAUAUGUCCUAUCGAGGAAGAUGCAAAGGAAGAAGUAUAUAUAUGUCCUACCGAGGAAGAUGCAAAGGAAGAAGUAUAUAUAUGUCCUACUCUCUUAAAAAUAUGUGCAGAAGUAUAUAUAUGUCCUACCGAGGAAGAUGCCAAGGAAGAAGUAUAUACAUGUCCUACCGAGGAAGAUGCAAAGGAAGAAGUAUAUGAUAGAAGCUAUUUUGGUUUACUUAAAAACUGGUUGCGGAAGAUGAUUGUUCGAGGAAGAUGCAAAGGAAGAAGUAUAUAUAUGUCCUACCGAGGAAGAUGCAAAGGAAGAAGCUGGUGAUAGAAGCUAUUUUGGUUUACUUAAAAACUGGUUGCGGAAGAUGAUUGUGUCAUUGUGUGAAAAUGAGUUUUAAGCAAGACUCGUGAAGUCAAGGACAUUCAACAUCUACUAUAUCCAUCAAAAAUAAGUUUCAACUUCAUAUAUACCGUGUAAGUCUCCAUCGGAACAGGUUUGGUUGAACUCCCUUACUCUGGCAUCGCUCCUUGUGGGAUUACACUUGGAUUGUUAUUAUUGUUCUUGUUCUUGUAUCUCAUAAAAUGGGGUUGAUUUUAUCAUCAAUACUCAAACUAGAAUAUGUAAUAGUUCAUUUGUACUUUUAUCCCUAUUUUGUGAUGCUCUUUGAGCAAAUAAUUUUUUUGUGAGAUAUAAGUUUAUAUUUUCAUAUGAUAAUAUUCUACAAGUAAUUAUUGUUUUGUACUCUUAAAGUACAUAUGUAAGCUAAGUAUAAGUUCGAUUGCUAAGGAUAAAUUAAAAGACGAAGGGAAAAUGGUGUUAUUUCUUCUCAUUAAUUACCAUUUUUAGUUGAUUCAUUAGCUCUUGUGAAAAAUUGGUCUAGUAAUUUGAUUUUUCUUGACCCAUUUUUUGUUAAAACUACAACACACGUACAUUAUCCUACAACAAAUGAACCAAAAUUUUCUUUCUGUUAUCUUGUUUUUGUGUCACUUUCAAAUGUUAUUAUAAGAUCAUAUUUAUUAAAAAAAAAAAUGAUUUCAAAUGUAUUAUUAUAACUCGCUUCGGGUUAUAGUUUAGGGCUCAAUUGUUUGCCGUUAAUAAACUGAAUGGUUUAGAUCUUAGGUUAUUAAGUGCAUUUGUUUUGAAUAAGUUAUCAUUGAAGUAUUGAGUGAAGGCUUAAUAUUAUUAAGACUAUGUCUGAGUGAAUAAUUUUCAUAUCACUCUAUUCAUAAUUUCUAACCACCAUCAUUACCAUUUCUGACAUCACAAUUAUCACCAUUAUUAUUCGACCAUCAUUUACGUCGCUAACUAUCAGCCGCCACACCAACCAACAUAGCCAUCAGACCGUCACGGGCAACCACUUCUUAGGUGUAACUGUGAUAUCUUCCCUUACUUUGUUAAUAGUAUAAAAGCAGUUGUUCUCUGAUGGACGUAGGAUCACAUUGAUCUGAACCACGUUAACUCUUAUGUUUUUUCUUUUACUUCUCCGCUAACAACCAGCUCCUCUUUUCUUUGGGGCUGUGUAAGGGUGUGUAAACUUUUCAGAAGCUGACCAGGUCAAAGAAAACUCAGUAGCCAUUAGAAAUGGCUAGUUGAUUUCAAAUAGUUAUAUAAUAUGCCAGUUGACUUUCCAGCUUUAUUAGAAAAUGGCUAGUUGUAUGUAAUGAUAGUGCUGUCCAAUUCAAGCAACUCCUUAAUUAAUGCUACAAUUUGGUACUAGUGAAAUCUUCUGAUUGUUUAGUGUUUGAAAACCAUUUGACUUAACAAAUUUCAAAUCAGUAGGCUGACUAUUACCUUGUUGUAAAAUGCAAUUUCCAAUAUAGAUCUGUUCUAGGAAACUUCGAGCAAUUACUAGUAUUUAAUACCCUGACCAGCUCAGUUGAUAUAGUGAUAUACUUGUAAAUCGAAUUUCUUCAUUCACAAAUCUUGUAUAGAAUUAGAAUAGGAGAUGGCUGUUUAUGCUGCUGUUACUUCUCUGAUGGGAACAAUGCACCUGAUUUCGCAAUCCAGCUUAGACUUUCAGGAAAGUAACAAAGAAUGUUCGAAAUCACUCUACGAGAAGGUUGGUUCUCUGUUAGAGUUUCUUGAUAAUGCAGAAUUAGCAGAUCGCUUACAAAAAAGUUUCAAGGGUAAAAGGUAUUUGAUCGUUGUGGAUGACAUAUGGAGCAGGGAAACCUAGGAUGAGAUUAGACUAUGGUUCCCAGAAAACAAUAAUACAAGUCGAAUAUUGCUGACUACUCGGAUCAUGGAGGUUGCUCGAUAUGCUAGCUAUCCUAAGAAUCCUUUUCCAAUGUGUCCCCUGGAACCAAAGGAAAGUUGGGAUUUGUUUUGCCAAAAGGCGUUUGGCGAAAAAGAUUGUCCAACCAAAUUUCAAACUUCCGCAAAGGUAAUUGUUGAAAAUUGCAAAGGAUUACCACUAAUACUUUCGGUGGUUGCAGGGACACUCUCUAGCAAAAGGACACUGGACGAGUGGAAUCAAGUAGCUCAAGGUGUGAGCUCAUUAGUAAACGUUGAUGAUUAUCAGCAUUGCUCAAGAGUUCUCGCUUUGAGCUACAAUUAUCUUCCUUCACAUUUGAAAGCUUGCUUUCUAUAUUUCGGAGUUUUCACAAAAGCUAGUGAGAUUUCUGUGAAAAAGUUGAUCAGAUUAUGGAUUGCAGAAGGACUUUUUGAGCUAAGAGGACGACUCAGGGAUUUGGAAGAAGUGGCUGAUAGUCUUCUACAUGAUCUUAUUGAUAAAAGUCUAGUCAUGGUUAGCAAGCGAAGCUUGGAUGGUAAAAUCAAGACAUGUAAGAUUCAUGAUCUUCUCCAUGAUUUAUGCUUGAUAGAAUCUGAAAGUGAGAAUCUUUUAUAUGUUUCUAAUUCCAAAACAGUUGUUCCUCAAGAUCAUCGAUGGGUUUCAGUUCAUUCAGAUCGAGGUUUUAUUUCUCCAUUUGGUACUUAUAACAAAACACGUUCUGUUCAUUUACCUUAUGGAAUACUGGAAUUCAAUAUUCUUAAAUUAGGACUAGACCAUUUCAAACUACUUAGAGUAUUAAACGUGGCGAGAGUGAAGUUGAUAUCUUUCCCUAGUGAAUUAUCAAACUUAGUCGCUUUAAGAUAUUUUUCUAUGAUGGUUUAUGGGAGAAUUGAAUAUCUACCAAUUUACAAGCUUUUGAAUUUACAAACUUUUAUUUUUCUUCUAGACUCUAGAUACAGUAUUACUGUACAAUUACCAAAUGGAAUCUGGAAAAUGUCUCAAUUGAGGCACCUCCACUGUAGAAGCAUUUAUUUUUUGAGUUCUCCUCCAAACAAGUAUCGGGUUUUGGAAAACUUGCGAAGUGUUUCUGGGUUGAAUCCUUCUUGUUGCACAAAAGAAAUAUUCCAAGGGAUUAAGAAAGUGAAACAGUUGGGUAUCAGUAACUUACCUUGUUCCAACAAACAGAAUAAACACAGCUCAAAGAAAUGAAUUUUAAUUAGACCUUUGUGCUGAUAACAUGUUAUAAAAUCAAACUCAAAACAAUAUAAUUAUAAAGAGAAGAAGACAAAAUAAGUAGAUGAAGGAGAAGAUUUUUCUUCUUAUUCAAGUGUGUCCUCCAAAUGAUGAAUGAUAUCUCUAUUUAUAGUGUUGAUAUAUCACUUCCAAAGAUCUCCUGGUUAAAUGCCAAACUAGUAGAUACAUAGUUAUCCACCUAGGUUCAUAUCACCUUGGAAUUAUACAUACAUGAAUUCAAUUAAUUCUUGAAGAAAUCAAAUGGAUAUUCCACUGCUCAAUGAAUUUAUAACAUAAAAAAAUGUGAACCAUUUUGUUCUAAUUUUAUAAAAAUAAUUCCAUCAAACAUAAUAUAUUUGACAUAAAUUUAUAUAUAUAUCCUUCUGGAUGUUCAUGACUAAUUAAUUUGAUAUUUCAAUGAUGAGCUUCCAUGAUUACCAUUGUCCCAUUUGUCGAGUUAUUUGCAGAUCAGAAAUACAUCUUUCUCUCAUUGAACAAUUAGUUGGACGCUAUAGAAUGGAGUUAUUUGAAAUCCACCCAAUUGCCCCAUUCUAUCUACAAAACUAAAAGGAUUUUUAUUUUUAAUAAAUUUAAAGAAGUACAUCAUUUAUUCUAUCCGUAAAUUUAAAGAAGUACAUCAUUUAAUAAAUUUAAAGAAGUAAAUAUCCUGCAAUCUAAAUUUGUUUACAGAAGGGUAAUUAAAAUGAUUUACAACAAACAUUCAACACCCAUUAUAUGUUUGACUUUUCGUUGUGUUAAACCAGUGGAUGCAUGUAAUUGGUCAUGUUAGUGCCUAUAAGGCAAUGGUGGAUGUAGGAACACUUUGAGCUGAACCACGUUAAAUCUUGUGUUUUUUCUUUUACGUUUCCGCUAAUGACAAGCUCCUCUUUUCUUUGGGGCUGUACUGUAAGGGUGCAUAAACUUUUCAGAAGCUGACCAGGUCAAUCAAGACUCAGUUGCUUGAACAAGAUUGUUUUUUUCCUUAAAAUAAUCAAGUCGGCACUAUUAGAAAUGGCUAGUUGAUUCCUAAUAGUAAUAUAAUAUGGUAGUUGACUUUCCAGCUUUAUUAGAAAAUGGCUAGUUGUAUGCAAUCAAAAUUAGCAUAUGUAAUGAUAGUGACUGUCCAACCCAAGCAUAUGUAAUUGUUGAGUGUUCUGUUGACAAAUUGACUUGGAAAUUUCAAUUAAGUAGGCUGACAUUGUUGAUAAUUUCACUGCUCCAUUGUAAAACAACUAAUCAUCAAAUCAUAAAAUCGUUGUAAAAGUAAAGUUGAGAGAGCAAUUCUCUUAGGUGUAACUGGGAUAUCUUCCCUUUCUUUGUUAAUAAUAUAAAGGCAGGACGUAGGAUCACUUUGAUCCGAACUACAUUAACUCUUGUAUUUUCUCCUUUACUUUUCCACUAACAACCAGCUCCUCUUUUCUUUGGGGCUGUGUAAGGGUGCGUAAACUUUUCAGAAGCUGACCAAGUCAAAGAAGACUCAGUAGCACUAUAGAAAUGGCUAGUUGUAUGCAAUCAAAAUCAGCAUACGCAACGAUAGUACCUAUCUAACUCUAACAACUAUACAAUUUGGUACUAGUGAAAUCUUUUAUUGUUGAGUGUUUGGUAAACCAAUUGACUUAAUAAAUUUCAAAUCAGUAGGCUGACAAUUACCUUGUUAAAAAAUGCAAUUUGCAAUUAUUGAGAGGAAUAAAAUAAUAGUAACUUUAUGAAAAUUUUAAAAAUAUGACUUUCCGGGUCAUUACAGGCUCCUCUUUUCUUUGGGGCUGCGUAAACUUUUCAGAAGCUGACUAGGCCAAAGAAGACUCGGUCCAAUUAUUAGAAAAUGGCUGCAAUUUGCAGAUACAUUCUAGGAGCAAUUACUAGUAUUUAAUACCCUGACCAGCAGCUCAGUUGAUAUACUUGUAAAUCAAAUCUCUUCAUUCACAAAUCGAAUCGGAGAUGGCUGUUUAUGCUGCUGUAACUUCUCUGAUGGGAACAGUGCACCUGAUUUCGCAAUCCAGCUUAGACCUUCAGGAGGGUAACAAAGAACAUUUGGAAUCACUCUACGACAAGGUUGGUUCUCUACUAGAGUUUCUUGACAAUUCUGAUAAUGAACUGCAGAAAAAGGUGAAAGAUCUAGCAAACGAAGUAGAGGAUGAAGUCGAAUCGGAGAUGGCUGUUUAUGCUGCUGUAACGUCUCUGAUGGGAACAAUGCACCUUCUUUCGCAAUCCAGCUUAGACCUUCAGGAGGGUAACAAAAAACAUUUGAAAUCACUCUACGACAAGUUUGGUUCUCUACUAGAGAUUCUUGACAAUUCUGAUAAUGAACUGCAGAAAAAGGUGAAAGAUCUAGCAAACGAAGUAGAGGAUGAAGUCAAACCACAAGUUGUGCGGAUUAUGGAGAAAAAAGAGGCAAAUGAAAGGCUUCGUAAGAUUUUGGAACAAGCUAUAAAAGACAUCGCAAACGAAGUAGAGGAUGAAGUCGAAUCGCAAGCUUUGCGGAUUAUGGAGAAGGAAGAACAUAUUCGAACAGAGGCAAAUAAGAGGCUUCUUAUAAUCUUGAAACAAGCUAUAGAAGACAUCGAUUCUGUGAAGGAAGAGCUCAGCAAGCCGAGGAAGAAUAACAAGCUGCAAGCUGGAAAUGGUUCGGUUGGUGGUACUUGUUCACCACGAUCGCUUGUUUCAACCCUUGAGAAUGACAUGGUGGGGCACAGCGAUGAGCAAGACAUGGUGGGGCACAGCGAUGAGCAAGACAUGGUGGGGCACAGCGAUGAACAAGAGAGAGUGCGGGGUGAGCUUACCGGGGACUCAUCUCAACUGGAAGUCAUCUCCAUUACUGGGAUGGGAGGCAUAGGCAAGUCAACUUUUGCCAAAAAGAUGUUUUCCGAUCCCUCAAUUGUGGGAUUCUUCAAUGUUUGUGGAUGGAUUACUGUGUCCAAGGACUACAGUUUAAAAAAGAUGCUUCUAUCCCUCCUUCAAGACGCUAUUGGCGUGAAUGAACAGCUUGAUGAGAAACCCGAUGAUGAACUAGCUGAUUGCUUGCAGAAAAGUCUCAAGAAAAGAAGGUAUUUGAUUGUUGUAGAUGACAUAUGGAGCAUAGAAGCCUGGGAAGAUAUCAGACAAUGGUUUCCAGAACAUAACAAUAGAAGCCGAAUACUGUUGACUACUCGGAUCACGGAGGUUGCUCGAGAUGCUAGCUCUCCUAAGAAGCCUUUUCAAAUGCGUUUCCUAGAUCCAGAUGAAAGUUGGAAUUUGUUUUGCCAAAAGGCGUUUGGCAAAAAUGAUUGUCCAGCUGAAUUUGAGAAUGUCGGAAAGGUAAUUGCAGGAAAUUGCAACGGAUUACCACUAAUGAUUUCUGUGGUUGCAGGGUCUCUUUCUAGCGAGAAGAUGCUGCGCAAGUGGCAUGAAGUAGCUCAAAGUGUAAGCUCAUUAGUAAACCUUGAUGAAUAUCAACGUUGCUCAGGAGUGCUCGCUUUGAGCUACAAUCAUCUUCCUUCCCACUUGAAAGCUUGCUUUCUGUAUUUCGGAGUUUUCAAAAAAGCUAGUGAAAUUUCUGUGGAAAACUUGAUUAGAUUAUGGAUGGCAGA
rnacentral:lncRNA from 1 species